rnacentral:rRNA from 1 species
CGGAGGGUGCAAGCGUUAUCCGGAUUCACUGGGUUUAAAGGGUGCGUAGGUGGGUCUGUAAGUCAGUGGUGAAAUCUCCGAGCUUAACUUGGAAACUGCCAUUGAUACUAUAGAUCUUGAAUAUUGUGGAGGUCAGCGGAAUAUGUCAUGUAGCGGUGAAAUGCUUAGAUAUGACAUAGAACACCAAUUGCGAAGGCAGCUGGCUACACAUAUAUUGACACUGAGGCACGAAAGCGUGGGGAUCAAACAGGAUUAGAUACCCUGGUAGUCCACGCCCUAAACUAUGGAUACUCGACAUUUGCGAUACACUGUAAGUGUCUGAGCGAAAGCAUUAAGUAUCCCACCUGGGAAGUACGAUCGCAAGAUUG